rnacentral:rRNA from 1 species
UACGUAGGGAGCAAGCGUUGUCCGGAAUCAUUGGGCGUAAAGCGCGCGUAGGCGGCCCCGUAAGUCCGCUGUGAAAGUCAAAGGCUCAACCUUUGAAAGCCGGUGGAUACUGUGGGGCUAGAGUCCGGAAGAGGCGAGUGGAAUUCCUGGUGUAGCGGUGGAAUGCGUAGAGAUCCGGAAGAACACCGGUGGCGAAGGCGGUCUGCUGGGCAGUAGCUGACGCUGAGGCGCGACAGCGUGGGGAGCAAACAGG